CUCUGAGCUGGACCCUCACUGCCCCACACUCCCCUUUACAGUGCCCUCACUGCCCCACUCACCUCUGUGCAGGCACAUCACUUCCCAGCAUCUCCACUCUCCUCUGUGCAGCCCCUCACUGGCCCACUCUCCUCUUUGCAGGCCCUCACUGACCCCUCUCCUCCAUGCAGUCCCCUCACUGCUGCACUCUCCUCUGCAGUUCCCUCACUCCCAGUCAGCCCCACUCUUGUCUGUGCAGGCCCCUCAAUGCCCCACUCUUCUAUGUGCAGUCCCCUUACUGCCCCACUUUUCUCUAGCGUUCCCCUCACUGCUCCAUUCCUCAUUGUGUGGUCCCGUCACUACACCACUCUCCUCCGUGUGGUCCCCUCACUGGCCCACUCUCCUCUGUGUGUUCCCAUCACUGGCCCACUCUCCUCUCUGCGUUGCCCUCACUGGCCCACUCUCCACCGUGCUGCCCCUCACUGGCCCACUUUCCUCUGUGCUGCCUCUCACUGCCCCAUUCUCCCCUGCACCAUUCUGAAGCCUCCUCACUGGCCCACUCUCAUCUAUGCAGUCCCCUCACUACCGCAAUCUCCUGUGUACAGUACCCUCAUUGCCCCACUCUUCUCUGUGCAGUCCCGUCAUUUCCCCAGUCCCCUCUGUGAAGGCCCCUCACAUCCCAUCAGCUCCACUCUCCUCUGUGCAGGCCCCUCACUGGGCCACUCUCCUCUGUGCAGGCCCCUCACUGCCCAUCAGCACCACACUCCUCUGUGCAGGCUCCUUACUGGCCCACUCUCCUCUGUCCAGGCCCCACAAUGCCCAUCAGCACCACUCUCCUCUGUGCAGGCCCCUCAAUGCCCCACUCUGCUCUGCGCCAAACUCUCACUGCCCCACUCUGAUCCGUGCAGUCCACUCACUACCCCACUCUCCAGUUCCCUCACUGCCCCACUCUUCUCUGUGCGGUCCCCUCACUGGCCCACUCUCCUCUGUGCUGCUCCUCACUGGACCACUCUCCUCUCUGAAGUACCCUUACUUCCCCCUCUCCUCUUUGCAGUUCCCUCACUGCCCCACUCUUCUCCAUACAGUGCCACCACUGCUCCACCCUCCUCUGCACCACUCUGGAGCCCCCUCACUGGCCCACUCUCAUCUGUGCAGUCCUAUCACUGCCUCAUUCUCCUCUGCACCACUCUGCAUCACCCUCACUGGCCCAACCUCAUUUGUGCAGUCCAAUCACUGCCCAACACACCUCUGUACAGUACCCUCACUGCCCAACAUACCCACUCUCCUCUGUGCAGUGCCCUCAUUGCCACACCCUCCUCUAUGCUGAACCCUCACUGCCCCACACUCCUCUUUACAGUACACUCACUGCCCCACUCUCAUCCCUACAGUCCUCUCAGUGCCCCACUCUCCUCUGCACCAUACCCUCCCUGCCCCACUCUCCUCUUUACAGUACACUCACUGCCCCACUCUCAUCGGUACAGUCCUCUCACUGCCCCACUCU
ensembl:lncRNA